rnacentral:rRNA from 1 species
AACAGGGAUUGCCCUAGUAACGGCGAGUGAAGCGGCAACAGCUCAAAUUUGAAAUCUGGCGCAAGCCCGAGUUGUAAUUUGUAGAGGAUGCUUCUAGGUAGCGACCGGUCUAAGUUCCUUGGAACAGGACGUCAUAGAGGGUGAGAAUCCCGUAUGUGACCGGCCCGCACCUUCUACGUAGCUCCUUCGACGAGUCGAGUUGUUUGGGAAUGCAGCUCUAAAUGGGAGGUAAAUUUCUUCUAAAGCUAAAUACCGGCCAGAGACCGAUAGCGCACAAGUAGAGUGAUCGAAAGAUGAAAAGCACUUUGGAAAGAGAGUUAAAAAGCACGUGAAAUUGUUGAAAGGGAAGCGCUUACAACCAGACUUCUGGGCGGUGUUCCGCCGGUCUUUUGACCGGUCUACUCGCCGUCCCGAGGCCAACAUCAUCUGGGACCGCUGGAUAAGACCUCAGGAAUGUAGCUUCCCUCGGGAAGUGUUAUAGCCUGUGGUGAUGCAGCGCGUCUCGGGUGAGGUCCGCGCUUCGGCAAGGAUGUUGGCGUAAUGGUUGUCAGCGGCCCGUCUUGAAACACGGACCAAGGAGUCUAACAUCUAUGCGAGUGUUCGGGUGUCAAACCCCUACGCGUAAUGAAAGUGAACGGAGGUGGGAAGCGUAAGCUGCACCAUCGACCGAUCCUGAUGUCCUCGGAUGGAUUUGAGUAAGAGCAUAGCUGUUGGGACCCGAAAGAUGGUGAACUAUGCCUGAAUAGGGUGAAGCCAGAGGAAACUCUGGUGGAGGCUCGCAGCGGUUCUGACGUGCAAAUCGAUCGUCAAAUUUGGGUAUAGGGGCGAAAGACUAAUCGAACCAUCUAGUAGCUGGUUCCU